rnacentral:rRNA from 1 species
AUUCUGGCUGUGCGAAGGUAGCAUAAUAAAUUGUCUUUUAAAUGGAGGCUUGAAUGAAAGGUUGGACAAAGUGUCAUCUGUUUCUUAAAUAUUUAUUGAAUUUGACUUUCAAGUGAAAAGGCUUGAAUAAAUUAAAAAGACGAUAAGACCCUAUAAAUCUUUACAAUAAACAUGUUUUAUAUUUUAAUUUAUAAGUUUAUAAAAUAUUAAAUUUGUAGUUGUUCCGCUGGGGCGGCGUGGAUAUAUUAAUAAACUGUCUAUAUAUUAAAMUCAAUAAWCAUUGAUUAAUAAGAUUGAUCCUUAAAUAGAUUAAAAGAUUAAGAUACUUUAGGGAUAACAGCGUUAUUUUUUUUGAGAGUUCCUAUCGAAGAAAAARUUUGCGACCUCGAUGUUGAAUUAAAGUAUCUUUAUGGRUGCAGCCGCUAUAAGAGAG